rnacentral:rRNA from 1 species
GACGAACGCUGGCGGCGUGCCUAAUACAUGCAAGUUGAGCGAUGAAGAUUGGUGCUUGCACCAAUUUGAAGAGCAGCGAACGGGUGAGUAACGCGUGGGGAAUCUGCCUUUGAGCGGGGGACAACAUUUGGAAACGAAUGCUAAUACCGCAUAACAACUUUAAACAUAAGUUUUAAGUUUGAAAGAUGCAAUUGCAUCACUCAAAGAUGAUCCCGCGUUGUAUUAGCUAGUUGGUGAGGUAAUGGCUCACCAAGGCGAUGAUACAUAGCCGACCUGAGAGGGUGAUCGGCCACAUUGGGACUGAGACACGGCCCAAACUCCUACGGGAGGCAGCAGUAGGGAAUCUUCGGCAAUGGACGAAAGUCUGGCCGAGCAACGCCGCGUGAGUGAAGAAGGUUUUCGGAUCGUAAAACUCUGUUGGUAGAGAAGAACGUUGGUGAGAGUGGAAAGCUCAUCAAGUGACGGUAACUACCCAGAAAGGGACGGCUAACUACGUG